AUUAAAAAUUCGGUUCGGGUUGUUCGGGUUUUCGGUUCGGUUUUGAGAUCUAAAAAAUUUCGGUUCUCGGUUCGGUUCGGUUUGGUAGGAAAAAAACCCAAAUAAACCGAAACCCGAAUUAUAUUUAAUUAUUCAUAUUAUAUAUAUAUUACUCCUAUUAUUUAAUUAUAACUAAAAUCUAAAAUACAAUUAUACAACUACAGCACAGAAGCCCUAAUUCACUUCGCAGUUCCGCCGCUCCUCUGACCUUCUCUCCCUCAAACCCCUCCGUCGCCGGUUGCCCCUCCGUCGGCCAGCUCCGGCCCGACCCCCCUCCAGCCGAUCUAUCGCCUCUCCAGCUCCUGUCGGCUGUCGCCCUCCAGCUCCUGUCGGCUGUCGCCCUCCAGCUCCUGUCGCGGAGUGUCGCCACAGCUUCGCCGUCGUCUCCACUCUCCACAGCUCCGCCUCCGACUCCAGGGUUAGAACUUUGAGAAGUAAAAAUAUUAGAGAGAUGAAUUUCCUUAGGGAAACAGCAAGCGCCAUGGAUUGCCAGAACUGCUUUCGUGCAGUCAGGAGCUGGUUUCGUCACAACACCAUCCUCAUCAAAUCCACCCUGUUCAUCUUAGGGCUGGUAUGGAGCACGAUGAUGGAGAAGACAUUUGUCAGGAUCUUAAUCACGCCGUUGCCCCACAGCGUUGAAGUUGUCUAAUGCAAGGGCAUGGACUACGUUGCUACAGUUCUGUCCAGUGGUCUCGUAACAGUCGGUUUUUUUUCCGAUGUUGAUAUCAUUGUUGACCGUGAGAUCGCAAAGAAUGAAGUCAAGACUAAUGCUCUGGCCGGCAAAGGUGAGUGAACAAUCCAGCAACUCCGUUGGCAUUAUAUUGAAAUAAUUGUUAUUCCUUGAUUGAUUUCAUUCCUAUGUUUGAUAACUACAAAUUAAUAUAGAAAUGAAAUGGAAUAAAAU